CGAACGCUGGCGGCGUGCUUAACACAUGCAAGUCGAACGGAAAGGCCCUGCUUUUGUGGGGUGCUCGAGUGGCGAACGGGUGAGUAACACGUGAGUAACCUGCCCUUGACUUUGGGAUAACUUCAGGAAACUGGGGCUAAUACCGGAUAGGAGCUCCUGCUGCAUGGUGGGGGUUGGAAAGUUUCGGCGGUUGGGGAUGGACUCGCGGCUUAUCAGCUUGUUGGUGGGGUAGUGGCUUACCAAGGCUUUGACGGGUAGCCGGCCUGAGAGGGUGACCGGCCACAUUGGGACUGAGAUACGGCCCAGACUCCUACGGGAGGCAGCAGUGGGGAAUAUUGCACAAUGGGCGGAAGCCUGAUGCAGCAACGCCACGUGCGGGAUGACGGCCUUCGGGUUGUAAACCGCUUUCGCCUGUGACGAAGCGUGAGUGACGGUAAUGGGUAAAGAAGCACCGGCUAACUACGUG
rnacentral:rRNA from 1 species